AUUGAACGCUGGCGGCAUGCCUUACACAUGCAAGUCGAACGGUAACGGGCCUUCGGGUGCCGACGAGAGGCGAACGGGUGAGUAAUACAUCGGAACGUGCCCGAUCGUGGGGGAUAACGAGGCGAAAGCUUUGCUAAUACCGCAUACGAUCUACGGAUGAAAGCAGGGGACCGCAAGGCCUUGCGCGGACGGAGCGGCCGAUGGCAGAUUAGGUAGGUGGUGGGAUAAAAGCUUACCAAGACGACGAUCUGUAGCUGGUAUGAGAGGAUGAUCAGCCACACGGGGACUGUGAGACGGCCCCGGCUCCUACGGGGGGCAGCAGUGGGGAAUUUUGGACAAUGGGCGCAAGCCUGAUCCAGCCAGGCCGCGUGCAGGAUGAAGGCCUUCGGGUUGUAAAGUGCUUUUGUACGGAACGAAAAGCCUUCGUCUAAUACAGGAGGGUCAUGACGGUACCGUAAGAAUAAGCACCGGCUAACUACGUGCCAGCAGCCGCGGUAA
rnacentral:rRNA from 1 species